rnacentral:sRNA from 1 species
GCUGGGCGUGGUGGCACACACCUGUAGUCCCAGCUACUCUGGAGGCUGAGGCAGGAGAAUUGCCUGAACCCAGGAGGUGGAGGUUGCAGUGAGCCGAGAUCACGCCACUGCAUUCCAGCCUGGCACCUGGUGACAGAGAAAGACUGUCUCAAAAAAUAAAAGAGAAAGAGUUUCGUUCUUGUUGCCCAGGUUGGAAUAUAAUGGCACGAUCUCGGCUCACUGCAACCUCCACUUCCCGGGUUCAAGCAAUUCUCCUGCUUCA